rnacentral:tRNA from 1 species
CGGGGUAUAGCGCAGUCCGCCUGCUUUGGGAGCAGGAUGUCGGGAGUUCGAAUCUCUCUACCCCGACCA